CAAAACGUGAGGCCCUAACUAUAAACUCGAUAGGUGGGUGAAUGCGAGGCUCUAACUAUGAUUUGGGCCGAAAAUCUCUGUGUUGAGAUUGGGGAGUUGGCCUCGCGGGACCAGCUAUGUUGUACAGUUAAGGCCAGCUCCUAACCCUAGAUAGCCAGUUCUCUGACCCUAGAUGGGGGCUUAAUAAGGGGGUAACGUAACGUGCUGGGUAUGCCCAAGUUGUGGUUUAUGAUAGGUACCUGGAGAUUCCCAGUCGGAGAAAGAGAAAAAGAAGGGAGGGAAAGGAGGAAAGAAACUGUGGUCGAGGGAAAGAGAAUUAUAUGGAGUAUAGUGCAGUUCUUGGAGAUAUAGCGGAUAGUAUAGUAUCCUUAGACCCUGAGGGUGCUGAAGAUUCUAGUGAUGGCUUCUAUAUAUCCCUGAAGGGAGAUGUAGGAAGGCGUUGUGCCAAGAAAGCGUGAUAGUACCUGCAG